UAACAGUACAACAAAUGGUAGAUACAACUGAUUUCUUGUAAUAAAGCACAAUAAUUACAAAGAAAUGAUGGAAUUGAAAAAUGAGACUAAGAGGUAUGAGCUAAAUAUUGUUUAUUAAACACUAGUAUAUUAUAAAUUGUAAGAGAAGAUCUCUCCUUUCCAAAUUAGCUCAUGUUUUGGUUCUAGGAAAUGGUGUUAAGAAGGGAGGUUGUGUCAAGGUGACCAAUCAAUUGAGAAUUUGAUGGCCAUUAGUACGUACACAAUGUCCUAAGGCCAAAAUAAUGGUAAGUGCAUAUGUAAUGUUAAGAAUGAAAGAGGAUCAAGAGAUGUGGCUAUAUCAAGGAGAAUGAACACGUGACAUAUGUUGUCUGGGAUUGUGGAAUAACACACAUUUGUCACUGC
rnacentral:misc_RNA from 1 species